rnacentral:misc_RNA from 1 species
GAAAUGCGAUAAGUAAUGUGAAUUGCAGAAUUCAGUGAAUCAUCGAAUCUUUGAACGCACAUUGCGCCCGCCAGUAUUCUGGCGGGCAUGUCUGUUCGAGCGUCAUUUCAACCAUCAAGCCCCCGGGCUUGUGUUGGGGACCUGCGGCUGCCGCAGGCCCCGAAAACCAGUGGCGGGCUCGCUGUCACACCGGGCGUAGUAGAUUUUUCGUCUCGCCCAGGGCGUGCUGCGGGUUCCGGCCGUUAAAAAGCCUCUCUUUUAACCCAAGGUUGACCUCGGAUCAGGUAGGAAGACCCGCUGAACUUAAGC